rnacentral:rRNA from 1 species
UACGUAGGGUGCAAGCGUUAAUCGGAAUUACUGGGCGUAAAGCGUGCGCAGGCGGUUGUGCAAGACAGAUGUGAAAUCCCCGGGCUUAACCUGGGAACUGCAUUUGUGACUGUAGAGCUGGAGUGCGGCAGAGGGGGAUGGAAUUCCGCGUGUAGCAGUGAAAUGCGUAGAUAUGCGGAGGAACACCGAUGGCGAAGGCAAUCCCCUGGGCCUGCACUGACGCUCAUGCACGAAAGCGUGGGGAGCAAACAGG